CACACUCUGUACUGGGAAGGGAAAAAUCUGAGCCAACUAUGUAAUCAUUCUCCACCUUAUCAUUGCCCCAACAUGACUAAUGAGCCAGGGACAGACUGCAGGGAGUGAGGAACAUGGAAGCAGCAGCAAAAACAAAGCAUCUCAGCGAGCUUUUUGCAAAUUAUAUGCAAUAAAUACUGAUGGAAUGAAGCCAUCUCUGUGGGGCCAGCAGCAGUCAGAGAGCAGCAUGGUGGAUAAAGCAAGUUCUUGCCAACUCCUUUAUCUUUCCAGUUCCAGGAUCUCUUAAGUCCCACGCAGAGAAGUCAGUCCAGUUUUUCUCUUGAAGAUCUGCAAAAAACCAAACAACAAAUCAUUAAAACUGAAAAGAUGAAAUGCUGAAUCAUGCCUUCCACUCUUUAGAACCCUGUGUUCCACUGAGCCUAAUUAUUUCACACUUGCUACCUAAAUCUUUGAGCAGACUCUCCCAAGAAUAUUCUCGAUGAGGGCUGGAAAAGAAAAAGUUCUGAUGAACAUCUAAUAGGGGGACAGUAGUUCUGGUCAAACUCCCUGGAAAUUAAUGUUGGCUUAGCUCAUAAGAAUGGGAUUUUAUUUGGCCCAAACAACCUCAAGCAAACUUGAAAUUACACUGAGGGCAGUACAGUCAAUGUGCAGCUGAAUGAGUGAAGAGAAACUGCCAGGAAACAUCAAACAUACUUUUAAGCAUUUAAACCAGUGUCUUUUGAGUAUCUGAAAUGAGGUGAAAAUACAUUAAAAUCCAACCAGAUCCCUCUCUUUCCCUUGUUGCAGCCAACCCUGAAUAGAGUCAGUGGGUGUAGAAAUAGGAAACUAUAUUUUGCUUUUGCUUAGGUAGUGGGGGUUUACUAUUUAAAAAAUAAAAAUUAAAAAAAAAAAAAAAAGCCUGACCUACAGCACAUUCUGGAAGGGCACAUAUCGAAUAUCCUCAGCUCUUAAUCUAAGAAGGAACUUCAGUGCUCUGGCAUUGUUCUCCCCUGUGCCAUUCUUAUCUGACACGUAGUAUCAGUUGCCAGAAAUGCUGUGGGUUUAUUCUGUACUUUGUAUUCUAAUAUAAAUGGAGCUGAAUAGUUGUCAUAGUCCUCUGGGCAGGGCUCCUUGCUGCUGCAGAGUUUAAUAUUGAGGUUGGCAGCACGAGGGUGGCUGAUGUAAUCCCUUCCAUUACCGAUAUUUACGGCACACCACGUUGCAAUACAAAGGUUUGGAGACUGGGAAGAUGUGACAAGCCAAAAAAACCCCAGCCAUUCAAAACUGAGCCUGGCUCUGCAGGGGUUGAUUCCCCUCACUGGACGUUCACUGAAAUGUCUUUUAAUGCCUUCAGGAGCAUUUGUGAUGCAAAAUUCAGGCGUAAAGCUCUGAUGGCAAAGUCCCCAUUGCACACCCCACAUCUGACUGCAGGUCUGAUUUCAGCAUGAGCCAGUGACUCAGGAUCACCAGCAAGUGAUGUCCAGAGUCACUCCUGGGUUUCACCAUUCUUUGGCCAAACAUCACAAGCCUUGGUGUAUUGUAACACAGGGGGAAGGGGCAGCAAACAGGAGGGUUUGUUCCUCUUUCCAGCAAACUCCUUCUACUCCUGCAGCAGCCCAGGAGCUGAUACAGUGAUCUGUACGUGCUGCUGAUUUGUGCUUUCAAAGUCCAGGAUAUUUCCUUCAACUUCUUAUUUACCUCCAAGUUUCAUCAAACCUGCAACUUUUUUCCGAGGGGCAGAGCAGGAGCAGCACUGAUCUCUGCUCCUGUGACAGGGACAGGACCCAGGGAAGGGCUG
ensembl:lncRNA